rnacentral:misc_RNA from 1 species
GCUCCGUUGGUGAACCAGCGGAGGGAUCAUUACCGAAGUUACCUUCAAAACCCACUGUGAACCUUACCUCUUGCCGCGUUGUCUCGGCGGGAGGCGGUGUGCGUCGCGCGCCCUAGCGGGCCGCGCCGCUCCCGUCCCCGCCGGCAGCGCCCAACUCUAAAUGCACAGCGGACUGUACGUUCUGAUUUACAAAAAAAAACAAGUUAAAACUUUCAACAACGGAUCUCUUGGUUCUG